UACGUAGGGUGCAAGCGUUGUCCGGAAUUAUUGGGCGUAAAGAGCUCGUAGGCGGUUUGUCGCGUCUGCUGUGAAAACCCGAGGCUCAACCUCGGGCCUGCAGUGGGUACGGGCAGACUAGAGUGCGGUAGGGGAGAUUGGAAUUCCUGGUGUAGCGGUGGAAUGCGCAGAUAUCAGGAGGAACACCAAGGGCGAAGGCAGAUCUCUGGGCCGUAACUGACGCUGAGGAGCGAAAGCAUGGGGAGCGAACAGG
rnacentral:rRNA from 1 species